rnacentral:rRNA from 1 species
CCGUAGCCCAAGAGAUCGGGAUAAUACCUGGAAACAGAUGCUAAUACCGGAUAACAACAGAUGAUGCCUAUCAACUGUUUAAAAGAUGGUUCUGCUAUCACUCUUGGAUGGACCUGCGGUGCAUUAGCUAGUUGGUAGGGUAACGGCCUACCAAGGCGAUGAUGCAUAGCCGAGUUGAGAGACUGAUCGGCCACAUUGGGACUGAGACACGGCCCAAACUCCUACGGGAGGCAGCAGCG